rnacentral:misc_RNA from 1 species
AAGUCGUAACAAGGUUUCCGUAGGUGAACCUGCGGAAGGAUCAUUAAUAAAGUUAACUCAUCGUUAUGGGUUUCUUUAACUCAUAUCAACCUUGUGUGCAUUCAAAUUGUAACUGGCAGUUCUUAGCUAGAGGUUUGUUAGGACCGAAGUGUGAAGUUUUUGGGGUUAAAGAGCCUAGGAGAUCUCAAGAUCUCUUAGUUCCGAGAUCUCAUAAGCUCAAGCCGAAGCCUUCAAUCCUUCAGCUUCCUGCCAAAAGUUAAACCUUAGAUUAAUUUGUUAAAGCUAUAAGUUAAACUACUUAAGUUUAAUAAAUAACAACUUUUGACAACGGAUCUCUUGGCUCUC